rfam:Brassica rapa chromosome A1, whole genome shotgun sequence.
GACAAUACGAGAUAUUGGUGUGGUUCAAUCAGAAAACCACACUCUUUUGUUGUAGAGAUCGGUUUGUUUGAUUGAGCCGUGCCAAUAUCACGAGUGUGAUU